GCAUUAAUGGGGUAGUGGUAACCUGGGUCGUUGCCAUGAAUGAAUGUGUCGUACUCACUAGGUACGCGUUUAUCGACCCGCCGGGAGUUCGAUUCUCUCUUAAUGCA